UUUCCGGUUGAUCCCGCCGGAGGCCACUGCUAUUGGGGUUCGACUAAGCCAUGCGAGUCUAUGGACUUCGGUCCAUGGCGGACGGCUCAGUAACACGUGGCUAACCUACCCUCAGGUGGGGGAUAACCUCGGGAAACUGAGGGUAAUACCCCAUAGGGGAAGAGGUCUGGAAUGAUCCUUCCUUGAAAGGACAUCCGCCUGAGGAUGGGGCUGCGUCCGAUUAGGUAGUUGGUGGGGUAAUGGCCCACCAAGCCUACGACCGGUACGGGCCUUGAGAGAGGAAGCCCGGAGAUGGGGACUGAGACACGGCCCCAGGCCCUACGGGGCGCAGCAGGCGCGAAACCUCCACAAUGCACGAAAGUGCGAUGGGGGAACCCCAAGUGCCUAUGCACAGCAUAGGCUUUUCCCAAGUGUAAACAGCUUGGGGAAUAAGGGCUGGGCAAGUCCGGUGCCAGCGGCCGCGGUGACACCGGCGGCCCGAGUGGUGGCCACUCUUAUUGGGCCUAAAGCGUCCGUAGCCGGUCCGGUAAGUCCCUGUUUAAAUCCUACGGCUCAACCGUAGGGCUGGCAGGGAUACUGCUGGACUUGGGACCGGGAGAGGA
rnacentral:rRNA from 1 species